AUGACGGGUGGCAGGGUAGCCCCGGGAGGGAAGAGGGGGUCCGGUCAGGCGCGGGCAGGGGAGGAGACAAUGGGCCAAGGGGACUUCAGGGAAGGAGGGGGAGCGGGAGGAAGAGGAGGAGGAAGGGGGAGGAAGAGAGGAGGAAGAGAGGAGGAAGGGAGAGGAGGAGGAAGGGGGAGGAAGGGGGGAGGAAAGGGGAGGAAGAGAGGAGGAAGGAGGAGGAAGGGGGAGGAAGAGGAGGAGGAAAGGGGAGGAAGGGAGAAAGAGGAGGAGGGAGAGAAGCAGCAGCAGCUCCCACGGUGGCUCGGGGGGAGGAGAGGAGGAGGAGGAGGAGGAGGAGGGAGGGGAGGAGGAAGAAGAGCAGCAGCAGUGUCAGUCCCCUGGUGGCGUGUCCCCCUCCCCGGGCGCCCCCGCGUCCCGCCCCUCCCCGGGCGCCUCCGCCCCCCACCCGCUGCCCCGGUGCCCCUCGGCCUCGCCGUGCGCGCCCCCUCCCCUCCUCCCCCUCCCCCUCCCCCUCCCCGCCCCCCCAUGGCCCGCUCGGGCCUCCGGCGGCGGCCCGGGCCCGACACGGACGGGGGGGCGGGGGACCCUCCCCGGGCCGCCCCCCGAAACCCGGACCCCCCGCCCCCGGGGCCGCACCGCCCGGAGGGCGGACGGACGGACGGGCGGGGGGAGGGGGCGGCAGACACGGGGGAGGGGGGGGAGGAGGAGGAGGAGACACCGAGGGGGGAGGAGGAGGAGGAGGAGGGAGCGGAGACGGAGGGAGGAGGAGGAGGGGGAGGAGAGACGGAGAGACGGAGGGAGGCGCGUCCACCUGGCUGUCCAGGCGCGUGGAGCGGCAGCGGUGACCGCAGUGGACGCCCGCGGCGGGAGAAGCGCCCCCUCGCCAGCCCCGGCUGCCUUCCUCUCUCCGGUUCCCCCGACGGCAUCCUCCCCUCCAGCCGGCCGAAGGCCAAACCCAGAAACGAGAGCCGACGGGCCGAAGCCCCAGCCCGAGCCGCCCCAGCUCCGCCCCAUGACGCUGGGAUGAUUUGAAGAAGAGUAAGAGUAAGUAGGAAGCGGGUUCUAGCCCGGUUUCU
rnacentral:lncRNA from 1 species